rnacentral:lncRNA from 14 species
GGUGUGUUAUGGGCUUCCCUUCUCGCUCACGAGGGUGGUCAGCUCUCCUGAGCUAUCCAGGGAUUAAUGAGAUUUGUCUUGAACAAAACUGACAGUUUUGAAUUUUUGCUCAUCAAUGUGCUACCUGGGAAUUUCGACUAUUGAGAACUCUUCUGCUAUUACUCUGUGACCCAGGAUCUCCUAAACACGGAGGACUACACUGUGUGGUUGCAUGUCCCAAGGAGCCCCAAAAUCUCCAAGCUCCAAGCAGCAGUUGGUGUCAGUUUUCCUCCACCGUGCAUGCAGUACAGGUAUCAAGAACACCCCGGAGGCCCUGUUGAAAGUCCUGCCUUUCGCAGCCUCUUGGUGCCCUGCAUUACUAGAGACCCUUUCAACAAAACCAGGAUGUGAGAAUACCUGUCAGAUAUUGAAUAUGAUCCCUGUGAAUCUGGCUAAAGGAAGUCAGUCAAAAUCAUGUGACAGGAUCACCUUAAACUCUGCCUCCUGCAAGGACGAGAUGGAGGGAAAUGAUUGGCCAGCAUAUAACGUAAACGGCUUCCAAUUUAACUCUCAUCAGAGUUCUUGUUCCUGUCUGAAACUUCAUGGCUGCAUCUUUAUGGAAGGACAACAAGGGAUUCUUCCCUGAAUACACACUGACAUUCAGGGAGUUCUCAAUAAAGA